GAUCAAUAUACUUUUAUUUCUAGAGAAUAUUUAACACUGGAACUGGAAGACAUUUGAAAUAUCCACAGUAUGUUUUUGAUAU